GACGAACGCUGGCGGCGUGCUUAACACAUGCAAGUCGAACGGCAAGGCCCUGCUUUGGUGUGCGGCUCGAGUGCCGCCCGGGUGAGUAACACGUGAGUAUCCUGCCCUUUCCUUUGGGAUAAGUUCAGGCCGCUGGGACUCAUACCGGAUCGGAGCUCCUGCUUCUUGGUGGGUCUUGGAGAGUUUCGGCCGUUGGGGAUGGACUCGCGGCUUAGGAGCUUGUUGGUGGGGUAGUGGCUUACCAAGGCGUUGACGGGUGGCCGGCGUGAGAGGGUGACCGGCCACAGGGGGACUGAGAUACGGCACAGACUCCUACGGGAGGCAGGAGUGGGGAAGAUUGCACAAUGGGCGGAAGCCGGAUGCAGCAACGCCGCGUGCGGGAUGAUGGCCUUCGGGUUGUAAACCGCAUUCGCCUGUGACGAAGCGUGAGUGACGGUAAUGGGUAAAGAAGCACCGGCUAACUACGUG
rnacentral:rRNA from 1 species